AACCAAGAAGGCUAAGUUAUACUUUAACGGUAAAAAGACAGUUAAGCUAAAUUAUAAGUUUUAUUAGUAUAGGUAUAAAGGUAGAAUUUGAAUAUGUAUAUAUAAUUUAAUGAAAACUUUAGUGCUGAAGCUGUGACAGCCUAGAGGGAAACUGGGAUUAGAUACCCCACUAUUCUUGGCAAUAAAGAAAUUAAAAUUUACCAGAGUACUACGAACUAAAGAGUUUAAAACUCAAAGGGCUUGGCGGUGUUUUAGACCUCUUAGGGGAACCUGUCUCAUAAUCGACAAUCCACGUUAAACCUAACUUCUUUUUGUACUCAGUAUGUAUACCAUCGUCGUCAGGUAACUUUUAAAAAUUUAGAAGUUAGCUAAAAAAUCAUGUAAAUUUAAACGUCAGAUCAAGGUGCAGUCAAUAAAGAAGUGAAGAUGGGUUACAAUUAUAGAAUCAUAAAUACGAAAUAAUUAAGUGAAUAAAUAAUUAUGAAGGAGGACUUAAAAGUAAACUGAAUUAUAUAAGCAUAUUGAAUUAGGCUCUGAAACGUGC
rnacentral:rRNA from 1 species